CCUACGGGCGGCAGCAGUGGGGAAUAUUGGACAAUGGGGGGAACCCUGAUCCAGCCAUGCCGCGUGUGUGAAGAAGGCCCUCGGGUUGUAAAGCACUUUCAGUGAGGAAGAACGCCUGGUGGUUAAUACCCAUCAGGAAUGACAUCACUCACAGAAGAAGCACCGGCUAACUCCGUGCCAGCAGCCGCGGUAAUACGGAGGGUGCGAGCGUUAAUCGGAAUUACUGGGCGUAAAGCGCGCGUAGGUGGCUUGAUAAGCCGGUUGUGAAAGCCCCGGGCUCAACCUGGGAACGGCAUCCGGAACUGUCAAGCUAGAGUGCAGGAGAGGAAGGUAGAAUUCCCGGUGUAGCGGUGAAAUGCGUAGAGAUCGGGAGGAAUACCAGUGGCGAAGGCGGCCUUCUGGACUGACACUGACACUGAGGUGCGAAAGCGUGGGUAGCAAACAGGAUUAGAUACCCGGGUAGUC
rnacentral:rRNA from 1 species